UACCUGCAGCUCAAGUGGUGGCCGCUAUUAUUGGGCCUAAAACGUUCGUAGCCGGUUUGGUAAAUGCCUGGGUAAAUCGUGUAGCUUAACUAUACGAAUUCCGGGUAGACUGCCAAACUUGAGACCGGGAGAAGCUAGAGGUACUCCUGGGGUAGAGGUGAAAUUCUGUAAUCCUAGGGGGACCACCAGUGGCGAAGGCGUCUAGCUAGAACGGGUUUGACGGUGAGGAACGAAGCCCUGGGGCGCAAACCGGAUUAGAUACCCGGGUAGUCCAGGGUGUAAACGCUGCUUGCUUGAUGUUAGUUGGGCUCCGAGCCCAAUUAGUGUCGGAGAGAAGUUGUUAAGCAAGCUGCCUGGGAAGUACGAUCGCAAGAUUGAAACUUAAAGGAAUUGGCGGGGGAGCACAGCAACGGGUGGAGCGUGCGGUUU
rnacentral:rRNA from 1 species